rnacentral:ncRNA from 2 species
GAUUUUAAAUAAAGAGGGAAUGGAGUGAAGAUCUCCAGCUGUGCCGCAACCGUAAAAGCCGGAAUACUCAGAAAA